rnacentral:rRNA from 1 species
GAUUGUGAUCUCAUGCAACUAGUAUAUAUUGUACUUAUAAAUACGUAUAUAAAUAAAGUACUUUUUGUGGACAUUGGGGGGUCGUGAAGACUUUAUCAGCGAGUUUUUGGUCUCGGAAGGACUAGAUAUGAAUAUUGAAUAAUCAGACAUAGUGCGAAAAGGUUGUCUGCCUAAAGGGAAACAGCCCAGAACAAGAGUUAAUAAGGUUCCAAAAUUAUUGUUAAGUGAAAUUAAGGCAGUAUUUAUUCCAAACAGCCAGGCAAUAGGCUUAGAAGCGGCCAUUUUCUGAAGACCUCGUAACAGAGCACUGGUUUUAUUUAUAAUACGGNUAAAAGCACCGAUCAUUUAACGGAUCUAAACAAUAUACCGAGACCUUGUCUAAAUAUAUUAAUGUUUACACAUAUUACAUUGCGUAUUUAGGGUAGCAGAACGUUGGCGAAGUCCG